GGUUGUUGGUGUAUUAUAGUGAUGGAAGGUUGUUGGUGUAUUAUAGUGAUGGAAGGUUGUUGGUGUAUUAUAGUGAUGGAAGGUUGUUGGUGUAUUAUACUGAUGGAAGGUUGUUGGUGUAUUAUAGUGAUGGAAGGUUGUUGGUGUAUUAUAGUGAUGGAAGGUUGUUGGUGUAUUAUAGUGAUGGAAGGUUGUUGGUGUAUUAUAGUGAUGGAAGGUUGUUGGUGUAUUAUAGUGAUGGAAGGUUGUUGGUCCAUUAUAGUGAUGGAAGGUUGUUGGUCCAUUAUACUGAUGGAAGGUUGUUGGUGUAUUAUAGUGAUGGAAGGUUGUUGGUGUAUUAUACUGAUGGAAGGUUGUUGGUGUAUUAUAGUGAUGGAAGGUUGUUGGUGUAUUAUAGUGAUGGAAGGUUGUUGGUGUAUUAUAGUGAUGGAAGGUUGUUGGUCCAUUAUAGUGAUGGAAGGUUGUUGGUGUAUUAUAGUGAUGGAAGGUUGUUGGUGUAUUAUACUGAUGGAAGGUUGUUGGUGUAUUAUAGUGAUGGAAGGUUGUUGGUGUAUUAUAGUGAUGGAAGGUUGUUGGUGUAUUAUAGUGAUGGAAGGUUGUUGGUGUAUUAUAGUGAUGGAAGGUUGUUGGUCCAUUAUAGUGAUGGAAGGUUGUUGGUGUAUUAUAGUGAUGGAAGGUUGUUGGUGUAUUAUAGUGAUGGAAGGUUGUUGGUGUAUUAUAGUGAUGGAAGGUUGUUGGUGUAUUAUACUGAUGGAAGGUUGUUGGUGUAUUAUAGUGAUGGAAGGUUGUUGGUGUAUUAUACUGAUGGAAGGUUGUUGGUGUAUUAUAGUGAUGGAAGGUUGUUGGUGUAUUAUACUGAUG